GCAGGUGUUAUUACAGGGUACAGUGUUUAAUAGUCACAUUUACAGGGUUACAGGUGUUAUUACAGGGUACAGUGUUUAAUAGUCACAUUUACAGGGUUACAGGUGUUAUUACAGGGUACAGUGUUUAAUAGUCACAUGUACAGGGUUGCAGGUGUUAUUACAGUGUUUAAUAGUCACAUGUACAGGGUUACAGGUGUUAUUACAGUGUUUAAUAGUCACAUGUACAGGGUUGCAGGUGUGAUUACAGUGUUUAAUAGUCACAUGUACAGGGUAGCAGGUGUUAUUACAGUGUAAUUGUCACAUGUACAGGGUAGCAGGUGUGAUUACAGGGUACAGUGUUUAAUAGUCA
ensembl:lncRNA